GUGAGGAAUAUUGGUCAAUGGACGGAAGUCUGAACCAGCCAUGCCGCGUGCAGGAAUAAGGUCCUAUGGAUUGUAAACUGCUUUUAUUCGGGAAUAAACCUCUUUACGUGUAGGGAGCUGAAGGUACCGAAGGAAUAAGCACCGGCUAACUCCGUGCCAGCAGCCGCGGUAAUACGGAAGGUGCAAGCGUUAUCCGGAAUCAUUGGGUUUAAAGGGUCCGCAGGCGGGCUAUCAAGUCAGAGGUGAAAUCCCACAGCUUAACUGUGGAACUGCCUUUGAAACUGAUGGUCUUGAAUUAAGUGGGCGUUGGCGGAAUAUGACAUGUAGCGGUGAAAUGCAUAGAUAUGUCAUGGAACACCGAAAGCGAAGGCAGCUAACGAUACUUAUAUUGACGCUCAUGGACGAAAGCGUGGGUAGCGAACAGGAUUAGAAACCCUGGUAGUCC
rnacentral:rRNA from 1 species